GUCAGCCUGCCCAGUGACCCUGUUCAACGGCCGCGGUAUCCUAACCGUGCGAAGGUAGCGUAAUCACUUGUUCUUUAAUUGCGGACUAGUAUGAAUGGCACCACGAAGGUUACACUGUCUCCUUUUUCUAAUCAGUGAAACUAAUCUCCCCGUGAAGAAGCGGGGAUAAGAAUAUAAGACGAGAAGACCCUAUGGAGCUUUAAACAAUAUAGCAGUUACUAUAAAAUAUUUAAAUUUCCGAAUUUUUAAAUCCUCAUAUAACAUGACUAUAAGUUUUUGGUUGGGGUGACCGCGGAGCAUAACACAACCUCCAUGUUGAAAAUUUUUAAACUAAGAACAACCCAUCUAAGCAUCAACAUAUUGACAUUCAUUGACCCAAUAUAUUUGAACAACGAACCAAGUUACCCUAGGGAUAACAGCGCAAUCCACUUCGAGAGCUCCUAUCGACAAGUGGGUUUACGACCUCGAUGUUGGAUCAGGGUAUCCCAGUGGUGCAGCCGCUACUAAAGGUUCGUUUGUUCAACGAUUAAAACCCUAC
rnacentral:rRNA from 1 species